rnacentral:lncRNA from 1 species
CUCCCUCUCUCCCUUUCCUAGGAGUGGGAGGACUACCGCCUCACCUGGAAGCCUGAGGAGUUCGACAAUAUGAAGAAAGUUCGACUCCCUUCCAAACACAUCUGGCUCCCAGAUGUGGUCCUGUACAACAAGUAGGUGACUCUGGAGGGAAGGAAGGUUGAGGGGGACCAUGGGAGUGCUCAGUGAAGGAGGAAGGCUUGUAAAAAUAAGAGAAGUAAGCUUAUGCUGUGAGAAAAGGGACUUUUCAUUGCUAGAUAUGUAGACAGGCAGUAGCCAAGGAGACAGACCCAGGAAGUGAGGUCCGGGGUGGACAGCCACAGGGAUUUGGACCAUGACGAGCCCCUUCUCAGUCAAUCAGGACUGCCAGUGUUAGGGGCUUUGGCGGGGAUUUAAAAAAUUGAAGCUCCCAGUGCCUAAACUGAUUCAAGAAUACGUUUUUCUGGAAGCCUGGGAAGAGAACCUUAAGGUCCCAGUUUCUCCUCCAGGUUCUCAGGUUCUAUCCUGUCUCCUGCAGCAAUCCCUCCAACCUCUAAGGUACAAAAUGACUUCCCUCAACUGAUGGGACCGUACUCCACUCCUACCUCCCCCUAUCCUUCUUUACUGCUUAGGGAUGCUCACUCUGGUCUCCCCACCUUCCCCAACAUCUCCACCCUCAUGAGAAACAACCAACCUGCACAAUAUGUGACAAGUAAUGGAUAUGCCCCUCCCACCUCUCUACCUGUCAUACCACCAGCAUCCCCUUCUUGCUCAACCCUGACUCUACUUCUCCGGACUCCUCCUCGAGGGUUACUCUCAGACUUGGAUGCCCCUCCUCCUACCUUCCUCUGGCUCUCCUCUCCUCCCACUCAGGGGGUCGUUGGGUGGGGACAGGGAAAUGUUUAGGCCAGGACUGACUGUGCCCACCCCUUGGCAGUGCGGAUGGCAUGUACGAGGUGUCCUUCUAUUCCAACGCGGUGGUCUCCUACGACGGUAGCAUUUUCUGGCUGCCACCUGCCAUCUACAAGAGCGCCUGCAAGAUUGAAGUGAAGCACUUCCCAUUCGACCAGCAAAACUGCACCAUGAAGUUCCGCUCCUGGACCUACGACCGUACGGAGAUCGACCUGGUGCUCAAGAGCGAUGUGGCCAGCCUGGACGACUUCACACCCAGCGGGGAGUGGGACAUUGUGGCCCUCCCGGGCCGGCGCAACGAGAACCCCGACGACUCCACGUAUGUGGACAUCACCUACGACUUCAUCAUCCGCCGCAAGCCGCUCUUCUACACCAUCAACCUCAUCAUCCCGUGCGUGCUCAUCACCUCGCUGGCCAUCCUGGUCUUCUACCUGCCCUCGGACUGCGGCGAGAAGAUGACCCUGUGCAUCUCUGUGCUGCUGGCGCUCACCGUCUUCCUGCUGCUCAUCUCCAAGAUCGUGCCGCCCACCUCCCUGGACGUGCCGCUCGUGGGCAAGUACCUCAUGUUCACCAUGGUGCUUGUCACCUUCUCCAUCGUCACCAGCGUAUGUGUGCUCAACGUGCACCACCGCUCUCCCACCACGCACACCAUGGCGCCCUGGGUCAAGGUCGUCUUUCUGGAGAAGCUGCCCACUUUGCUCUUCAUGCAGCAGCCGCGCCACCAUUGUGCCCGCCAGCGCCUCCGCAUGCGGCGUCGCCAGCGAGAGCGCGAGGGCGCCGGGGCCCUCUUCUUCCGCGAAGCCCCCGGGGCCGACUCCUGCACCUGCUUCGUCAACCGCGCCUCGGUGCAAGGCUUGGCCGGGGCUUUCGGGUCGGAGCCUGCGCCCGUGGCCGGCUCGGGCCGUUCUGCGGGACCCUGUGGCUGUGGCCUCCGGGAAGCGGUAGACGGCGUUCGCUUCAUUGCUGACCACAUGCGGAGUGAGGACGACGACCAGAGCGUGAGUGCAGCGCCAAGACGCUGAGGGGUCGUGAGAUGGGACUCC